rnacentral:rRNA from 1 species
UACGUAGGGUGCGAGCGUUAAUCGGAAUUACUGGGCGUAAAGCGUGCGCAGGCGGUUCGUUAAGUCAGCUGUGAAAGCCCCGGGCUCAACCUGGGAACUGCGGUUGAAACUGGCGAACUAGAAUCUGGCAGAGGGGGGUGGAAUUCCACGUGUAGCAGUGAAAUGCGUAGAGAUGUGGAGGAACACCGAUGGCGAAGGCAGCCCCUGGGUCAAGAUUGACGCUCAUGCACGAAAGCGUGGGGAGCAAACAGG